AUUGAACGCUGGCGGCAGGCCUAACACAUGCAAGUCGAACGGUAACAGGAAGCAGCUUGCUGCUUUGCUGACGAGUGGCGGACGGGUGAGUAAUGUCUGGGAAACUGCCUGAUGGAGGGGGAUAACUACUGGAAACGGUAGCUAAUACCGCAUAACGUCGCAAGACCAAAGAGGGGGACCUUCGGGCCUCUUGCCAUCGGAUGUGCCCAGAUGGGAUUAGCUAGUAGGUGGGGUAACGGCUCACCUAGGCGACGAUCCCUAGCUGGUCUGAGAGGAUGACCAGCCACACUGGAACUGAGACACGGUCCAGACUCCUACGGGAGGCAGCAGUGGGGAAUAUUGCACAAUGGGCGCAAGCCUGAUGCAGCCAUGCCGCGUGUAUGAAGAAGGCCUUCGGGUUGUAAAGUACUUUGCAGCGGGGAGGAAGGCGAUAAGGUUAAUAACCUUGUCGAUUGACGUUACCCGCAGAAGA
rnacentral:rRNA from 1 species